rnacentral:rRNA from 1 species
AGUGAACGCUGGCGGUAGGCCUAACACAUGCAAGUCGAACGGCAGCACAGUAAGAUCUUGCUCUUACGGGUGGCGAGUGUCGGACGGGUGAGGAAUACAUCGGAAUCUACUUUUUCGUGGGGGUUAACGUAGGGAAACUUACGCUAAUACCGCAUACGACCUACGGGUGAAAUCAGGGGAUCUUCGGACCUUUCGCGAUUGAAUGAGCCGAUUUCGGAUUAGCUAGUUGGCGGGGUAAAGGCCCACCAAGGCGACGAUCCGUAGCUGGUCUGAGAGGAUGAUCAGCCAAACUGGAACUGAGACACGGUCCAGACUCCUACGGGAGGCAGCAGUGGGGAAUAUUGGACAAUGGGCGAAAGCAUGAUCCAGCCAUACCGCGUGGGUGAAGAAGGACUUCGGGUUGUAAAGACCUUUUGUUGGGAAAGAAAAGAAGCAGGUUAAUACCACGAUGUUCUGACGGUACCCAAAGAAUAAGCACCGGCUAACUUCGUG